rnacentral:rRNA from 1 species
UUCCGGUUGAUCCCGCCGGAGGCUACCGCUAUUGGAGUUCGAUUAAGCCAUGCGAGUCGCGAGUCUUAGGGACUCGGCGUACCGCUCAGUAACACGUGGGUAACCUGCCCUAUGCUGGGGGAUAACCUCGGGAAACUGAGAAUAAUACCCCAUAGUUCACCACGCCUGGAACGGUGGGUGGACCAAAGCUCCGGCGGCAUAGGAUGGGCCUGCGGCGUAUCAGGUUGUAGGGGGUGUAAUGUACCCUCUAGCCCUCUACGCGUACGGGUGUUGAGAGACAUCGCCCGGAGAUGGAUUCUGAGACACGAAUCCAGACCCCACGGGGUGCAGCAGGCGCGAAAACUUGGCAAUGCGAGAAAUCGUGACCAGGGAACUCCAAGUGCAUCGGGUAAGACCGAUGCUUUUCUUGACUCUUCAAAGGUCUUGGAAUAAGGGGUGGGUAAGGACGGUGCCAGCCGCCGCGGUAAUACCGGCGCCCCAAGUGGUAGUCGCUUUUAUUGGGCCUAAAACGUCCGUAGCCGGUCUGGUACAUUCGUGGGUAAAUCAACCAGCUCAACUGGUUGAAUUCUGCGAGCACGGCCAGACUUGGGACCGGGAGAGGUGUGGGGUACUCUCAGGGUAGGGGUAAAAUCCUGUCAUCCUGAGAGGACCACCUGUUGCGAAGGCGCCACACUAGAACGGAUCCGACGGUCAGGGACGAAGCCUAGGGGCACGAACCGGAUUAGAUACCCGGGUAGUCCUAGGUGUAAACGCUGUGGACUUGAUGUUGGGAGUGCUCCGAGCACCCUCAGUGUCGAAGCGAAGGUGAUAAGUCCACUGCCUGGGGAGUACGGUCGCAAGGCUGAAACUUAAAGGAAUUGGCGGGGGAGCACUGCAACCUGAGGAUUGUGCGGUUUAAUUGGAGUCAACGCCGG